CGCCCACAGAGGCUCGCAGCGCUGGCUACCGCCGACACCCCCUCCACCCGGCUCGGGCAGAAAUGCGGUCGGUUCGCAUCUUCCAAGCAGGUCAAUGACAUUUUGCUCCGUGAGUACUUGAAGGUGGAGAAUUCCUUUAUGAUGUUAGCCCCUUGGGAGCAGAGCUGGAAUGGCAAAGGACAUACAGAUUGUGGAGGAAUGAUCAGAAUCCUGCAGAGAGAAGAGCUCUGAACAGUCAUGUUGAUCUAAAGAGUUCACAUUCUGACCGGGAAGAAUGUCAUUCGUAACAUAACAUACAUAGGACACAAUUAAAUGGGUGGCUGAGCUCCUGCACAUGGACAUAGACUGGGCUACAAACGCUCAGAGGAUGGAAGGAUGCUGGUGAAAGAUGGCAGCUGAGAAGGUCUCCUGAGACGGGGGAGAACGCUGUCCUUGAAGGAAAGGGCUGGAGGGACGAGAGCUCAGAAUCGAGGACUCUGCUGGGGAGAACAGCCCCGCUUGUGGGGCAGCAGGAAGAGGGGUACUGUGGUCAGAGCCUGGCUUUCUUUCCCUGAGUGGGCCGCAGACUAGUCUGAGGAAUCGUGUGGUUCUCCGAGGACUCGAGGUGAAGGACGGGCCAAGGAUGAAUCCUUACAAUGCUCUUAAAGUAACCAAAAUCCCAAGAGCCAAUGUCAAGGGCAGUUCCUACCUUAACCACCUGCU